GUCAAUGGCCAUGCUAUCCUGAAUAAGCCUGAUCCUGUCUGAUCUCAGAAGCUAAGCACGGUUGGGCCUGGUUAGUACCUGAAUGGGAGACCACCUAGGAAGAUCCAGGAGCUGCAGGUG
rnacentral:rRNA from 1 species